GACGAACGCUGGCGGCGUGCUUAACACAUGCAAGUCGAACGGAAAGGCCCUGCUUUUGUGGGGUGCUCGAGUGGCGAACGGGUGAGUAACACGUGAGUAACCUGCCCUUGACUUUGGGAUAACUUCAGGAAACUGGGGCUAAUACCGGAUAGGAGCUCUUGCUGCAUGGUGGGGGUUGGAAAGUUUCGGCGGUUGGGGAUGGUCUCGCGGCUUAUCGGCUUGUUGGUGGGGUAGUGGCUUACCAAGGCUUUGACGGGUAGGCGGCCUGAGAGGGUGACCGGCCUCAUUGGGACUGAGAGACGGCCCAGACUCCUACGGGAGGCAGCAGGCGGGAAUAUUGCACAGUGGGCGGAAGCCAGAUGCAGCAACGCCGCGUGCGGGAUGACGGCCUUCGGGUUGUGAACCGCUUUCGACUGUGACGAAGCGGGAGUGACGGUAAUGGGUAAAGAAGCACCGGCUAACUACGUG
rnacentral:rRNA from 1 species